UUCCUGCUGACGAGUCGCAAAUGAGAUGAAAUGUGCAUCAUGGAC
rnacentral:hammerhead_ribozyme from 1 species